GCACUGGAUGCAGUCUCUCAUGAAGUCUUUGGGAUUGUCGUGACUCAAUUUCUCUUGGCUUCCUUUGUAAAACUGUUUCUUGCUUCUGUCUCUAGUUUACUCAUUUUUGGAGUUUGUUUGGGCACUUCUUGUCAUGCUAUCAUGUAUCUUCUCCUCUUUUGAGUGAGCUUAAGACUUCAUUUAAUGGAAUUUCAAUUUUACCAAAACAAAAAAAGACAUGUUCAUAAUAAAAAAAAAAGAAACUAGUCAAGAUUCGAAAAGAACAUAAAAAUUAACGAAGAACCAAAACAAAAGAGCAUCUAGGACAAACAAAAGAAAUCAGUCAAGUAUCUCCCAACAUCUCA
rnacentral:lncRNA from 1 species